CACCUGGCAGAGUUCUAAGCCAUCUGGCAAUGUCUAAUGGGCUGGGCUGGGCUGUCUGUGUAUAUGAAGGUGUGUGCAUGUAACUUUUGACCCGUAUGUCCGAUUUUCAUAAAUGAGGUACCGUUGGAAUCCUUGGAUGAGGCCGAGUUCCAUGCCC